rnacentral:rRNA from 1 species
CCUACGGGUGGCAGCAGUGAGGAAUAUUGGUCAAUGGCCGGAAGGCUGAACCAGCCAAGCCGCGUGAAGGACGAAGGUGCCAAGCAUUGUAAACUUCUUUUGUCAAGGGACAAAAUCAGGCUCGAGAGCCUGACCGAGGGUACGUGAAGAAAAAGAAUCGGCUAACUCCGUGCCAGCAGCCGCGGUAAUACGGAGGAGGCGAGCGUUAUCCGGAUUGAUGGGGUUUAAAGGGUGCGGAGGCGGGCUGUUAAGGCAGCGGUAAAAGCCCGGGGCUCACCCCCGGCGAGCCGUUGAAACUGGCUGUCUUGAGUUGUCGAGAGGUAUGCGGAAUGCUCAGUGUAGCGGUGAACUGCUUAGAUAUUGCGCAGAACUCCGAUUGCGAAGGCAGCAUACCGGCUGCGAUCUGACGCUGAGGCACGAAAGCGUGGGUAUCGAACAGGAUUAGAUACCCUGGUAGUC